rnacentral:rRNA from 1 species
AUGGGGGCCCUGAUUAUGCCAUUUCUAUUUAAUCUCAUGAGUAACUUGUGCUCAGCAGGAGGUAUCAUGUUCACCUCGUGUGAUUCUUUUAAUUUUUUGAGAAAGGAUGAUCACCUUAACAGUCAGGAGAGCACCACGACUACCUCUGCUUUGACAUUAAACACUUCCAUUCAGUUCAUGUUCUCUGUGAGAGUUGAGCGCUUGGCCCCCCUGUGCGAUAACGUGCAUUCAUCUAGUGACCAAGCUGCAGAAAAUGGUACUGACAAGAGAAAAGUUCUGCUGACUACUCCAUAUGAGGUAUGGCUUACCAAGCUACGACCAAGACCAUGGCCAUGGUUCGAGUUUACUCCGGAGACCAUUCAACCUAGGCUAGACUUGGUUUCACUUUCAGGUCAUUGCCGCAAAACUUGUGUGGUGUUCGAGCAAUGCUUUUGUAGUCAGCUCUAUUUACGAAUUGAACACUUGAGGCUCACGUGUGAUGAAUUACCCAAUACUCCUGGAAUGGUCAGCUUGGAAUUCACUGUCUUUGCUAUGUAUCUGGCUUUGCUGCUACUCGCUUCUACUGAUAUCAAUCACACCGGAUUCUCCCGCUCAAGCACAACUGUUACAAACCUGAAGCUGCAGCUGAUUGCCUUUUCAGAUGAGUGGAAACUCCUAAAGCCUAAUUUCGUUCAAGCUAAUUUUGUCCCCUGUUCGGAUGCAUUUCUCACUGGGAACCAAUUCAUGGUGGUUGUUGAACUGUUGUUGCAUCCUGUUGGGCAGAUAAGUGACAGGGUUCAAAGGUGGAGAAGCCAAUAUCAUACAAGGGAGAGCAACAAAAUCACUUACAACUAUGGCAUAUGCGUUGGCAUCCUAGUGUACCUUGUCAAGCUAUUGGUGGUGCUUCUCUUGGGGGCCAGAUGCAGGUCUCACUACUACUCUGUUUUGGUUAGCCCAUAA